UACAGAGGUCUCAAGCGUUGUUCGGAUUCAUUGGGCGUAAAGGGUGCGUAGGCGGCGUGGAAAGUCAGAUGUGAAAUCCGGAGGCUCAACCUCCGAAUUGCAUCCGAUACUACCGUGCUCGAGAGCUGUAGAGGAUCUGGAAUUCGUCGGUGUAGCAGUGAAAUGCGUAGAUAUCGAGAAGAACGCUCGUGGCGAAAGCGAGAUCCUGGGCGAGCCUCUG
rnacentral:rRNA from 1 species